rnacentral:piRNA from 1 species
UGAGUGUUGUAAACCUGGGCUAGAACAAGA